ACGCUCGACACCUACGGGGAGGCAGCAGGUGGGGAAUAUUGCACAAGUGGGGGAAACCCUGAUGCAGCGACGCCGCGUGAGCGAAGAAGUAUUUCGGUAUGUAAAGCUCUAUCAGCAGGGAAGAUCAUGACGGUACCUGACUAAGAAGCUCCGGACUAAAUACGUGCCAGGAGCCGCGGUAAUCUGAGGCGGGCUGGCAAGGC
rnacentral:rRNA from 1 species